rnacentral:rRNA from 1 species
GACGAACGCUGGCGGCGUGCUUAACACAUGCAAGUCGAGCGGUAAGGCCCUUUCGGGGGUACGACGAGCGGCGAACGGGUGAGUAACACGUGGGUGACCUGCCCUUAGCUCUGGGAUAAGCCUGGGAAACUGGGUCUAAUACCGGAUAUGACUCCAUGACGCAUGUUGUGGGGUGGAAAGCCUUGUGCGGCUAGGGAUGGGCCCGCGGCCUAUCAGCUUGUUGGUGGGGUGAUGGCCUACCAAGGCGACGACGGGUAGCCGGCCUGAGAGGGCGACCGGCCACACUGGGACUGAGACACGGCCCAGACUCCUACGGGAGGGCAGCAGUGGGGAAUCUUGCGCAAUGGGCGAAAGCCUGACGCAGCGACGCCGCGUGAGGGAUGACGGCC